rnacentral:lncRNA from 1 species
CCAUCGGCCGAGCAGAGCACGGCACGGCUAGGCCCGGGCGAGGGCGACCCGACGGCGACCAGGGGAGGGAGCGGCAAGGCUCCAGCGUCCACCUGCCGGCGGUCACGACGCAGGACGGCGCGGGGGCAAGCGGCGCUGCAAGGCCGCCAUGGCCGGGCACGGAUGGAGAGGAGGGGCUCCGGGAUGGCUUGUCCACAGCGAGCUCACCGGCGGCAAAACGGUGGCCGGACCGGCAUGGCUACGGUUGCUAAUUAG